GAGAGAGAGAGAGAGAGAGAGAGAGAUGUGUCAUCAUCUCCGACCAUGACUUUUUCGGUUAUGGGCCUUUUGUUCUUCUUCUUUUUGUAAAAUCCAAUUAUUGGCCUUAACCCAACUAAAUAAGGUGCUUUAAAUGCUUUUCUUAAAAGUAUUGGGCCAAAUUAAAAGAAUUAAACAGUAGCGGGUCUUAAAUAAUACAUUUCUUUUAUAAGAAGUUUAAACAUUUAAACUUUAUACUACGAGUGAAAUCCUAAAAUUUACGGAUUUGAGUCGAUAUUAAUACAAGAUUGUAUACGACGGGGUGAAAUCCUAGAAUUAACAAUCAUAAUACUAUUAUACAAUCUUAAACACUAAACACAAUAGACAAUACUAAUAAAACAAAUACAACUUAAAAUUU
rnacentral:sRNA from 1 species